GACGAACGCUGGCGGCGUGCCUAAUACAUGCAAGUCGAACGCACUCUCGUUUAGAUUGAAGGAGUUUGCUCCUGAUUGAUAAACAUUUGAGUGAGUGGCGGACGGGUGAGUAACACGUGGGUAACCUGCCCUAAAGUGGGGGAUAACAUUUGGAAACAGAUGCUAAUACCGCAUAAAACCUAACACUGCAUGGUGUAGGGUUGAAAGAUGGUUUCGGCUAUCACUUUAGGAUGGACCCGCGGUGCAUUAGUUAGUUGGUGAGGUAAAGGCUCACCAAGACCGUGAUGCAUAGCCGACCUGAGAGGGUAAUCGGCCACACUGGGACUGAGACACGGCCCAGACUCCUACGGGAGGCAGCAGUAGGGAAUCUUCCACAAUGGACGAAAGUCUGAUGGAGCAACGCCGCGUGAGUGAAGAAGGUUUUCGGAUCGUAAAACUCUGUUGUUGGAGAAGAAUGUAUCUGAUAGUAACUGAUCAGGUAGUGACGGUAUCCAACCAGAAAGCCACGGCUAACUACGUG
rnacentral:rRNA from 1 species